rnacentral:rRNA from 1 species
UACGUAGGGUGCAAGCGUUGUCCGGAAUUAUUGGGCGUAAAGAGCUCGUAGGCGGUUUGUCGCGUCUGCUGUGAAAACUCGGGGCUUAACUCCGGGCCUGCAGUGGGUACGGGCAGACUAGAGUGCGGUAGGGGAGACUGGAAUUCCUGGUGUAGCGGUGAAAUGCGCAGAUAUCAGGAGGAACACCGGUGGCGAAGGCGGGUCUCUGGGUCGUAACUGACGCUGAGGAGCGAAAGCGUGGGGAGCGAACAGG